rfam:Streptomyces sp. CNQ-509, complete genome.
GCGGGCGUAGUUUAAUGGUAGAACAUGAGCUUCCCAAGCUCAGAGCGCGGGUUCGAUUCCCGUCGCCCGCU